UCAGGACGAACGCUGGCGGCGUGCUUAACACAUGCAAGUCGAGCGGAAAGGCCCUUCGGGGUACUCGAGCGGCGAACGGGUGAGUAACACGUGAGUAACCUGCCCCUGACUCUGGGAUAAGCCUGGGAAACUGGGUCUAAUACCGGAUAUGACGCACCCUGGCAUCGGGUGUGCGUGGAAAGUUUUUUCGGUUGGGGAUGGACUCGCGGCCUAUCAGCUUGUUGGUGGGGUAGUGGCCUACCAAGGCUUCGACGGGUAGCCGGCCUGAGAGGGCGACCGGCCACACUGGGACUGAGACACGGCCCAGACUCCUACGGGAGGCAGCAGUGGGGAAUAUUGCGCAAUGGGCGGAAGCCUGACGCAGCGACGCCGCGUGGGGGAUGACGGCCUUCGGGUUGUAAACCUCUUUCAGCAGGGACGAAGUUGACGUGUACCUGUAGAAGAAGCGCCGGCUAACUACGUGCCAGCAGCCGCGGUAAUACGUAGGGCGCAAGCGUUGUCCGGAAUUAUUGGGCGUAAAGAGCUCGUAGGUGGCUGGUCGCGUCUGCCGUGAAAGCCCGUGGCUUAACUACGGGUCUGCGGUGGAUACGGGCCGGCUUGAGGUAGGUAGGGGCAAGCGGAAUUCCUGGUGUAGCGGUGAAAUGCGCAGAUAUCAGGAGGAACACCGGUGGCGAAGGCGGCUUGCUGGGCCUACCUGAC
rnacentral:rRNA from 1 species